AUUGAACGCUGGCGGAAUGCUUUACACAUGCAAGUCGAGCGGCAGCGCGGGGGCAACCCUGGCGGCGAGCGGCGAACGGGUGAGUAACAUAUCGGAACGUACCCUGUCGUGGGGGAGUAACUAUCCGAAAGGAUAGCUAAUACCGCAUACGACCUGAGGGUGAAAGCGGGGGAGUCGCAAGACCUCGCGCGAUAGGAGCGGCCGAUAUCGGAUUAGCUAGUUGGUGGGGUAAAGGCUCACCAAGGCGACGAUCCGUAGCUGGUCUGAGAGGACGACCAGCCACACUGGAACUGAGACACGGUCCAGACUCCUACGGGAGGCAGCAGU
rnacentral:rRNA from 1 species